CCUACGGGUGGCAGCAGUGGGGAAUAUUGCGCAAUGGGCGAAAGCCUGACGCAGCGACGCCGCGUGAGGGAUGAAGGUCUUCGGAUCGUAAACCUCUGUCAGCAGGGAAGAACGGUCACUGUGCUAAUCAGCAGUGAAUUGACGGUACCUGCAAAGGAAGCACCGGCUAACUCCGUGCCAGCAGCCGCGGUAAUACGGAGGGUGCGAGCGUUAAUCGGAGUUACUGGGCGUAAAGCGCUCGUAGGCGGUAUGUCAAGUCAUGGGUGAAAGCCCCGCGCCUAACGUGUGAACUGCCUUUGAAACUGGCAAACUGGAGUGUGUGAGAGGAUAGUGGAAUUCCGGGUGUAGGAGUGAAAUCCGUAGAUAUCUGGAGGAACAUCAGUGGCGAAGGCGACUAUCUGGCACAUAACUGACGCUGAGGAGCGAAAGCGUGGGUAGCAAACAGGAUUAGAUACCCUAGUAGUC
rnacentral:rRNA from 1 species